UACGGAGGGUGCUAGCGUUGUUCGGAAUCACUGGGCGUAAAGGGCGCGUAGGCGGUCGUGUGCGUCGGAGGUGAAAUCCCCGGGCUUAACCCGGGAGCUGCCUCCGAUACGGCAUGGCUUGAGUCCGGGAGAGGGGAGCAGAAUUCCCAGUGUAGCGGUGAAAUGCGUAGAUAUUGGGAGGAAUACCGGUGGCGAAGGCGGCUCCCUGGACCGGUACUGACGCUGAGGCGCGAAAGCGUGGGUAGCAAACAGG
rnacentral:rRNA from 1 species